rnacentral:rRNA from 1 species
AUGGCUUCUCCAAAAGGGAUUUUAUUAGAUCAGCGCGUGGUCGCCAUACAGAAGUCCAAAAUGGUCGAUCAAAUAGAGAUUGAUCAAUUCUUCAACGAGCUUGCCAUUAUGUCGCAAAUCAAUCAUCGAAAUGUGGUAAAACUUUUUGGAUGUUGUCUCGAGUUAGAGGUGCCUUUGCCUGUUUAUGAGUUCGUAUCCAAUGGCACGUUGUCUGAAAUCCUCCAUGGUGACGAUAUCAGUUCUAGGAUCUCGUUAACAUGGGACGAUCGUAUUAGAAUUGCUAGCGAGGCUUCAAGUUCUCUUGCUUACCUUCAUUCUGCUGCUUCCAUACCAAUCUUUCACAGAGACGUGAAAUCUGCCAAUAUACUCUUGACUGAUAACUUCAGUGUAAAGGUUGCAGACUUCUGA